UAAAGGGUCCGUAGCCGGUUUAAUCAGUCUUCUGGGAAAUCUAAUCGCUUAACUAUUAGGCUUCCAGGGGAUACUGUUAGACUUGGGACCGGGAGAGGUAAGAGGUACUGCAGGGGUAGGAGUGAAAUCUUGUAAUCCCUGUGAGACCACCAGUGGCGAAGGCGUCUUACCAGAACGGGUCCGACGGUGAGGGACGAAAGCUGGGGGCACGAACCGGAUUAGAUACCCGGGUAGUCCCAGCUGUAAACGAUGCUCGUUAGGUGUCAGGAACGGUGCGACUGUUUCUGGUGCCGAAGGGAAGCCGUGAAACGAGCCACCUGGGGAGUACGGCCGCAAGGCUGAAACUUAAAGGAAUUGGCGGGGGAGCACUACAACGGGUGGAGCCUGCGGUUUAAUUGGACUCAACGCCGGAAAACUCACCGGGGGCGACAGCAAUAUGUAGGUCAGGUUAAAGGUCUUACCUGAAUCGCUGAGAGGAGGUGCAUGGCCGUCGUCAGUUCGUACUGUGAAGCAUCCUGUUAAGUCAGGCAACGAGCAAGACCCGUGCCCACUGUUACCAGCAUAUCCUUUAUGGAUGAUGGGGACUCUGUGGGGACCGCUGCUGCUAAAGCAGAGGAAGGUGCGGGCUACGGUAGGUCAGUAUGCCCCGAAUCUCCCGGGCUACACGCGGGCUACAAUGGUUGGGACAAUGGGUAUCUACUCCGAAAGGAGUUGGCAAUCUCUUAAACCCAAUCGUAGUUCGAAUUGAGGGCUGUAACUCGCCCUCAUGAAGCUGGAAUCCGUAGUAAUCGCGUUUCAACAUAGCGCG
rnacentral:rRNA from 1 species